UAUCCCUCUCUAUCUGAACCACCGUGGUUGUGUAUAUUAAGGUAGCAUGUCUAUAUUGUCACCUGUCUAUCUGAACGACCGUGGUUGUGUACAUUAAGGUAUCAUGUCUAUAUUGUUACCCCUGUCUAUCUGAACGACCGUGGUUGUGUAUAUUAAGGUAUCAUGUCUAUAUUGUUACCCCUGUCUAUCUGAACGACCGUGGUUGUGUACAUUAAGGUAUCAUGUCUAUAUUGUCACCCUGUCUAUCUGAACGACCGUGGUUGUGUAUAUUAAGGUAUCAUGUCUAUAUUGUUACCCCUGUCUAUCUGAACGACCGUGGUUGUGUACAUUAAGGUAUCAUGUCUAUAUUGUUACCCCUGUCUAUCUGAACGACCGUGGUUGUGUACAUUAAGGUAUCAUGUCUAUAUUGUUACCCCUGUCUAUCUGAACGACCGUGGUUGUGUAUAUUAAGGUAUCAUGUCUAUAUUGUUACCCCUGUCUAUCUGAACGACCGUGGUUGUGUACAUUAAGGUAUCAUGUCUAUAUUGUUACCCCUGUCUAUCUGAACGACCGUGGUUGUGUACAUUAAGGUAUCAUGUCUAUAUUGUCACCCCUGU
rnacentral:lncRNA from 1 species